GACGAACGCUGGCGGCGUGCUUAACACAUGCAAGUCGAACGGAAAGGCCCUGCUUUUGUGGGGUGCUCGAGUGGCGAACGGGUGAGUAACACGUGAGUAACCUGCCCUUGACUUUGGGAUAACUUCAGGAAACUGGGGCUAAUACCGGAUAGGAGUUCCUGCUGCAUGGGGGGGGUUGGAAAGUUUCGGCGGUUGGGGAUGGACUCGCGGCUUAUCAGCUUGUUGGUGGGGUAGUGGCUUACCAAGGCUUUGACGGGUAGCCGGCCUGAGAGGGUGACCGGCCACAUUGGGACUGAGAUACGGCCCAGACUCCUACGGGAGGCAGCAGUGGGGAAUAUUGCACAAUGGGCGGAAGCCUGAUGCAGCAACGCCGCGUGCGGGAUGACGGCCUUCGGGUUGUAAACCGCUUUCGCCUGUGACGAAGCGUGAGUGACGGUAAUGGGUAAAGAAGCACCGGCUAACUACGUG
rnacentral:rRNA from 1 species